rnacentral:rRNA from 1 species
GACGAACGCUGGCGGCGUGCUUAACACAUGCAAGUCGAACGGAAAGGCCCUGCUUUUGUGGGGUGCUCGAGUGGCGAACGGGUGAGUAACACGUGAGUAACCUGCCCUUGACUUUGGGAUAACUUCAGGAAACUGGGGCUAAUACCGGAUAGGAGCUCCUGCUGCAUGGUGGGGGUUGGAAAGUUUCGGCGGUUGGGGAUGGACUCGCGGCUUAUCAGCUUGUUGGUGGGGUAGUGGCUUACCAAGGCUUUGACGGGUAGCCGGCCUGAGAGGGUGACCGGCCACAUUGGGACUGAGAUACGGCCCAGACUCCUACGGGAGGCAGCAGUGGGGAAUAUUGCACAAUGGGCGGAAGCCUGAUGCAGCAACGCCGCGUGCGGGAUGACGGCCUUCGGGUUGUAAACCGCUUUCGCCUGUGACGAAGCGUGAGUGACGGUAAUGGGGAAAGAAGCACCGGCUAACUAUGU